AACGCACCUUGCGCCCUUUGGCCAUUCCGAAGGGCAUGCCUGUUUGAGUAUCAUGAACACCUCAACUCAUUAUGGUUUUCCAUGGUGAGCUUGGACUUUGGGGGUCUUGCUGGCCUACGGUCGGCUCCUCUAAAAUAAAUCAGCUUACCAGUGUUUGGUGGGUAUCAUGGGUGUGAUAACUAUCUACGCUUGUGGUUUUUCCACCGGGUAACCUUCGGCAGUGGAGGUUCACUGGAGCUCAUAGAUGUCUCUCCUCAGUGAGGACAGCCCUUUGAAUGUUUGAUCUCAAAUCAGGUAGGACUACCCGCUGAACUUAA
rnacentral:misc_RNA from 1 species